GAAUGUGUAGCAUAUUUUGAGCAAUUGUACGAAUGAUACGUGAUCAUGUUUACUUUCCUUCUCUUAUUCGAGAUAACCAACGACAUAGUAAUGUCGCAAAGGUGCUAGAAUAAUCAUGAUCGCCUAGAAUGUUAUCUUCUGUUCAAACGCACAUUAUUACAUGUAAGUUAUCCGUGUGCGUUUUACAAAUUGUCAGUCAAAUAGCUAAGGCUAGGCUAGCCUCACCAUAAGAUUACAGAAAUACUAAGAAAACGAAAAAAAACUAUUUUUAAA